UUACUUUGACUGAUUUUUAUGUUUUUUAAUAUUGGUGUUUUUGAUUGCGCUGUGUUAAUAACAUAAAAAAUAAAAUAUAUAUUGACAUGUAUUAAACAAAGAUAUAUAUUAUUUUAUGUUGUAUAAAUAAAUUGGCAAAAUAGAGAUGGAACAUAAAAAUAUGGUCAAAGUAAUAAGAGUCUAUGGUACCC
rnacentral:misc_RNA from 1 species